CAUAUAAAAAAAAAAAUCAGAACGUUGCUUCUCGAAUUCUGUCUCCCUCAGCCAAGCUCCCCAUUCCCCGUUCAUUUUCGAACUUGGCACAGUGGAAUGCAACCCACGCGUCGAUAAUCGUGACUUCUUCUCCGCUUUUCCUUUCCUUUACGUUUUUCUCUCUCGCCGUCCAACCUCUCACGAAUUACAAACAAGGUGCUUUCUUGCUGGAAAAACCACUGAACCAGUAGAAUUUUCCUCGGUUCUUCAAUUCGAUUCGAACAAUUUUUUUACCCAGAAAAGCUAGCUUCCUGGUACAUGCCGUUGGAUUCCGUUUGCUGCUGCUGAUCUGCAGAGCAAUUCUUGGAGUUGCAAUCUUACCAGCUACGAAAAGGAAAGUUAUUGAGAAAAUCUGGAGAGAA